rnacentral:rRNA from 1 species
CGAACGAACGCUGGCGGCAUGCCUAACACAUGCAAGUCGAACGAAGCCUUCGGGCUUAGUGGCGCACGGGUGCGUAACGCGUGGGAAUCUGCCCUUAGGUACGGAAUAACUCAUGGAAACGUGUGCUAAUACCGUAUGAUGUCUUCGGACCAAAGAUUUAUCGCCUAGGGAUGAGCCCGCGUUGGAUUAGCUAGUUGGUGAGGUAAAGGCUCACCAAGGCGACGAUCCAUAGCUGGUCUGAGAGGAUGAUCAGCCACACUGGGACUGAGACACGGCCCAGACUCCUACGGGAGGCAGCAGUGGGGAAUAUUGGACAAUGGGCGAAAGCCUGAUCCAGCAAUGCCGCGUGAGUGAAGAAGGCCUUCGGGUUGUAAAGCUCUUUUAUCUGGGACGAAAAAAAGCUCUUUCUAGAGCACUUGACGGUACCAGAGGAAUAAGCACCGGCUAACUACGUG